AGGUUGGCUCAGAAGCAGCCAUCCUUUAAAGAGUGCGUAACAGCUCACUAGUCGAGUGACCCUGCGCCGAAAAUGUACCGGGGCUAAGCCUGAUACCGAAACUGCGGAUUGUAGGAAACUAUAGUGGUAGGGGAGCGUUGUAUACGAGCAGAAGCCGUACCGUGAGGAGCGGUGGAUUGUAUAGAAGUGAGAAUGCCGGUGUGAGUAGCGAGAUGUAGGUGAGAAUCCUACACACCGAAAGCCCAAGGAUUCCAGGGGAAGGUUCGUCCGCCCUGGGUAAGUCGGGACCUAACGCGAGGCCGAAAGGCGUAGUGGAUGGAAAGCAGGCGAAAGAUUCCUGCACCCGUAUAUGGAGCGAAGGAGUGACGGAGACGGAUAGUGUGACCCUCUUAAUGGAUUGAGGGCGAAGCGAAGCGGCUGGUUACCAGGCAAAUCCGGUAACCAAAAGGCUAGAGCGUGACAGGUAAGCGAAAUCUUAGGAAAGUAGCGAAGCACAUGAUGACGGCUUCCAGGAAAAGCUUCUGGCAAUGCAUAUGCGGCCCGUACCAAAACCGACACAGGUGGGCAGGGAGAGAAUCCCGAGGUGAGCGAGAGAACUGUUGCCAAGGAACUCGGCAAAAUGACUCCGUAAGUUAGCGAGAAGGAGUGCUUAAGCAAUUAAGCCGCAGUGAAGAGGCCCAAGCGACUGUUUAACUAAAACACAGCUCUCUGCGAAGUCGCAAGACGAAGUAUAGGGGGUGACACCUGCCCGGUGCUGGAAGGUUAAGAGGAUCUGUUAAGAGCGAUCUGAAGCAGUGAUCCGAAGCCCCAGUGAACGGCGGCCGUAACUAUAACGGUCCUAAGGUAGCGAAAUUCCUUGUCAGGUAAGUUCUGACCCGCACGAAAGGUGUAACGAUUUGGGCGCUGUCUCGGCAGCAGACUCGGUGAAAUCUUAGUACCUGUGAAAAUGCAGGUUACCCGCAACUAGACGGAAAGACCCCAUGGAGCUUUACUGCAGCCUGAUAUUGAAUUCUGGUCAUACAUGUACAGGAUAGGUGGGAGACAAAGAGACGUGCACGCCAGUGUACGAGGAGUCGACGUUGGGAUACCACUCUUGUGUGACCGGGGUUCUAACCUGGUAUCGAGAACAGGUACGGGGAGAGUGUCAGGUGGGCAGUUUGACUGGGGCGGUCGCCUCCCAAAGAGUAACGGAGGCGCCCAAAGGUACGCUCAGAUUGGAUGGAAACCAAUCGUCGAGUGCAAUUGCAGAAGCGUGCUUGACUGUGAGACAAACAAGUCGAACAGGGACGAAAGUCGGGAAUAGUGAUCCGGCGGUGCCGAAUGGAAGGGCCGUCGCUCAACGGAUAAAAGCUACCCUGGGGAUAACAGGCUGAUCUCGCCCAAGAGUUCACAUCGACGGCGAGGUUUGGCACCUCGAUGUCGGCUCAUCGCAUCCUGGAGCUGGAUUCGGUUCCAAGGGUUGGGCUGUCCGCCCAUUAAAGCGGUACGCGAGCUGGGUUCAGAACGUCGUGAGACAGUUCGGUCCCUAUCUGUUGUGGGCGAAGGAGAUCUGCGGAGAGCUGUCCUCAGUACGAGAGGACCGGGAUGGACCUACCGCUGGUGCACCGGUUGUUCCGCCAGGGGCAUAGCCGGGUAGCUAAGUAGGGAAAGGAUAAGCGCUGAAAGCAUCUAAGCACGAAGCCUACUCCAAGAUGAGAUCUCCCAUUCGCAAGAAGUAAGACCCCUUAAAGACGAUAAGGUAGAUAGGCCAGGGAUGGAAGUGCAGUGAUGUACGGAGUUGACUGGUACUAAUCGGUCGAGGACUUAAUCAG
rnacentral:rRNA from 1 species